UUUGGAGAUCAUUGUAAUACAUUAAUGGGUGGACCCCACAACCAUUACACAAGAGACAUAUAUAUACGGGUGUGCAGCAUGUUUGAGAAACAAACAUUUCACAAGAGAAUGUGCUAGGCUUCUUUCCUUGUAAGUUCCAACGUGUGCAACACAUACAUUUUCUAAAGGUUGCUAUGUUGUUUUCCUUAUGGUGUUAGCGCCAGCAAACACAUAUAUAUGCAUAUACACGAUCUGCCAUGGAUAAAUAAAAUUCAUAUGCGGAAGCAAAUUACAGGGGAGAACGUCAUAUAAGUCAUAAACACGCCAGUUUCCUCCGGAUAAUAGCAAAUUAGAGAUUUCUUCAAAGUGAAGUAAGGUGGAAAAGGAUUAUUUCUUGGCAUAUAAGGUACAGAGAUUCGUGAUCUGCCAGCGUAGGCCACACGUUCUGCUAUUACCGAGUGCUCCUUUUGAUCCGGAGCCCAUUUGUCGGUAUAUGUCUUUUGUGAUGUAUAUGCAUCUGUAUAUUUGACUAUUUGGGGUACGGCGGGGCCUUGUCCCGUCAUAUGUUUUCGUUCUGUAUGUGUAGAGGCUUGUAGUCAUAUAUGUGGGUCGAGGGUCCUAUAUGUGUCUGCUUUGUUUACGAUCUGUGUCUUAAUGCGGUCCGUCUGUUAUGGUGGCCAAAAUGGCCCAUAUGUUUGUAUCUGUACAUAUGAUCGGCGACGUGCAUUCCGCCGCUCCUUCUGUUUUAAUAUGAUAUUUUGGUAUGCGCGACCGCUUAAGACAA